rnacentral:rRNA from 1 species
UAAGGAAUAUUGGUCAAUGGACGCAAGUCUGAACCAGCCAUGCCGCGUGAAGGAUGAAGGUCCUCUGGAUUGUAAACUUCUUUUAUCUGGGACGAAAACGGGAUUUUUAUCUCAAUUGACGGUACCAGAGGAAUAAGCACCGGCUAACUCCGUGCCAGCAGCCGCGGUAAUACGGAGGGUGCGAGCGUUAUCCGGAUUUACUGGGUUUAAAGGGUGCGUAGGUGGGCUUAUAAGUCAGUGGUGAAAUCUCCGAGCUUAACUUGGAAACUGCCGGUGAUACUAUAGAUCGUGAAUUAUCUGGAGGUAAGCGGAAUAUGUCAUGUAGCGGUGAAAUGCUUAGAUAUGACAUAGAACACCAAUUGCGAAGGCAGCUUACUACAUAUAAAUUGACGCUGAGGCACGAAAGCGUGGGGAUCAAACA